UUACGGUCAUAUCACGUCGAAACAUCGGUUCCCGUACUAUCACCAAAGUUAAGGAACGUCGAGCCUUGUUGGUAUUUAGUUGGGUGACCGCUUGGUAAUACUAGGA